AGUGAACGCUGGCGGUAGGCCUAACACAUGCAAGUCGAACGGCAGCACAGUAAGAGCUUGCUCUUACAGGUGGCGAGUGGCGGACGGGUGAGGAAUACACCGGAAUCUUCUUUUUCGUGGGGGAUAACGUAGGGAAACUUACGCUAAUACCGCAUACGACCUACGGGUGAAAGCAGGGGAUCUUCGGACCUUGCGCGAUUGAAUGAGCCGAUGUCGGAUUAGCUAGUUGGCGGGGUAAAGGCCCACCAAGGCGACGAUCCGUAGCUGGUCUGAGAGGAUGAUCAGCCACACUGGAACUGAGACACGGUCCAGACUCCUACGGGAGGCAGCAGUGGGGAAUAUUGGACAAUGGGCGCAAGCCUGAUCCAGCCAUACCGCGUGGGUGAAGAAGGCCUUCGGGUUGUAAAGCCCUUUUGUUGGGAAAGAAAAGCAGCAGGUUAAUACCCCGCUGUUCUGACGGUACCCAAAGAAUAAGCACCGGCUAACUUCGUG
rnacentral:rRNA from 1 species